AAGUGCCACUAGGCUAGGCUUGCA
rnacentral:piRNA from 1 species